rnacentral:rRNA from 1 species
CAUGGUCUUAGCUUGCUAAGGCCGAUGGCGACCGGCGCACGNGGUGAGUAACACGUAUCCAACCUGCCGUCUACUCUUGGACAGCCUUCUGAAAGGAAGAUUAAUACAAGAUGGCAUCAUGAGUCCGCAUGUUCACAUGAUUAAAGGUAUUCCGGUAGACGAUGGGGAUGCGUUCCAUUAGAUAGUAGGCGGGGUAACGGCCCACCUAGUCUUCGAUGGAUAGGGGUUCUGAGAGGAAGGUCCCCCACAUUGGAACUGAGACACGGUCCAAACUCCUACGGGAGGCAGCAGUGAGGAAUAUUGGUCAAUGGGCGCAGGCCUGAACCAGCCAAGUAGCGUGAAGGAUGACUGCCCUAUGGGUUGUAAACUUCUUUUAUAAAGGAAUAAAGUCGGGUAUGUAUACCCGUUUGCAUGUACUUUAUGAAUAAGGAUCGGCUAACUCCGUGCCAGCAGCCGCGGUAAUACGGAGGAUCCGAGCGUUAUCCGGAUUUAUUGGGUUUAAAGGGAGCGUAGAUGGAUGUUUAAGUCAGUUGUGAAAGUUUGCGGCUCAACCGUAAAAUUGCAGUUGAUACUGGAUAUCUUGAGUGCAGUUGAGGCAGUCGGAAUUCGUGGUGUAGCGGUGAUAUGCUUAGAUAUCACGAAGAACUCCGAUUGCGAAGGCAGCCUG